rnacentral:rRNA from 1 species
GAUGAACGCUGGCGGCGUGCUUAACACAUGCAAGUCGAACGAUUAAGACGGCUUCGGCCGUGUAUAGAGUGGCGAACGGGUGAGUAACACGUGACCAACCUGCCCCGCGCUCCGGGACAACCGCUGGAAACGGCGGCUAAUACCGGAUGCUCCGGGGAGGCCCCAUGGCCUCCCCGGGAAAGCCCUGACGGCGCGGGAUGGGGUCGCGGCCCAUUAGGUAGACGGCGGGGUAACGGCCCACCGUGCCCGCGAUGGGUAGCCGGACUGAGAGGUCGACCGGCCACAUUGGGACUGAGAUACGGCCCAGACUCCUACGGGAGGCAGCAGUGGGGAAUUUUGCGCAAUGGGAGGAACCCUGACGCAGCAACGCCGCGUGCGGGACGAAGGCCUUCGGGUUGUAAACCGCUUUCAGCAGGGAAGACAUAGACGGUACCUGCAGAAGAAGCUCCGGCU